rnacentral:tRNA from 1 species
GCAGUGGUGGUUUAAAGGUAAAAUUGCUGCCCUCUGUGCAGGAGAGCUGGGUUUGAUUUCUGGCCAGUGCA